rnacentral:tRNA from 1 species
GUUUUAAUAGUUUAGAAUAAAACAUUGGUCUUGUAAACCAAAAUCGAAAUUUACUUUCUUAAAACU